UACGUAGGGUGCGAGCGUUGUCCGGAAUUAUUGGGCGUAAAGGGCUCGUAGGCGGUCUGUCGCGUCGGCUGUAGCGAAAUCCCGGACGCUCAACUCCGGGUCUGCAGUCGAUACGGGCAAACGUGGAGUACUUGCAGGGGAGACUGGAAAUUCCUGGUGUAGCGGUGAAAUGCGCCAGAGUAUCAAGGGAGGGAACACCGGUGGGCGAAGGCGGCUCACUGGCGUCAUUUCUGACGCUCGAGGCGACGACAGCCGUGGGGAUCAAACAGG
rnacentral:rRNA from 1 species